UACGACGGGGGCUAGCGUUGCUCGGAAUCACUGGGCGUAAAGCGCACGUAGGCGGCUUUCUAAGUCAGGGGUGAAAUCCUGGAGCUCAACUCCAGAACUGCCUUUGAUACUGAAGAUCUUGAGUCCGGGAGAGGUGAGUGGAACUGCGAGUGUAGAGGUGAAAUUCGUAGAUAUUCGCAAGAACACCAGUGGCGAAGGCGGCUCACUGGCCCGGUACUGACGCUGAGGCACGAAAGCGUGGGGAGCAAACAGG
rnacentral:rRNA from 1 species